AAAAAAAUUUUCAAAAAAUUUCAAUUUUUCUUAGGCAGACUAUUUUAUUGCAAUUUCUUGCACAAAAUACACCUAAAAGUGUGGAAAAAAAUUGACAGCCCGAUAUGAGUAGAGGAAGAUCCUUAUUACCACCCUUAAGGCAAUCUCUAAAUGACUAUGGAGAAAUGCCUUGUACUUUAUUGUUAUUAAUUUUUUAAUAUUCUUAUUAAUUUUAUAUUGGCAAAUACAAUAAUUUUUUUUUAAUUUUCUAUUUAAAUUUUUGUGUGAAAUAGUUUUUUCCCAAUUUCUAGGUGUUCAUUUAUGCAGGAUGGGUGUUUGUUGCGGAGCUGCUCCUGGAGGAGAUCUGGCAUUGCUGAGUCGCAGUUCAAUACAGUCACUCCAGUAGCAGGGAGAUUUAGCAGUCAUCGUACCUUUAACACGUCGCGAAAAAUCCCAAAUUUCUAUUCCAGGGAAGAAACUUUCAUCUAUUGAAAGAGAUAGAGAGAGUAUGGUGUCAUCAUAUCUUUAAAACGACGAAAAAAAUUGGCAAUAGUGUUUUUCAGUCAAUGCCCAAUAAACAACUUGAAGGACAGGAAGGAUGUGGUAGAAGAAAAGUGGCCCCUGCAUACUUUUUUUUAAUAAAAUUUUUUGUUUUCUUUUUUAUUUUUUUUUUUUUAUAAGAUUUUUUUAACGCUCCCGGCCUCGCGCAGAAGUGCGCGCAAGAAAGAGGGAUCCUCGGGAGCAGGCCUGAAGUGUUCGAGAAGUGGCGAUAUAACUUUUGCCCCGACGUGGGAUUCGCCGAUCGGUGAGUCGUUUUUUAUUUAACCCCUUCCCUGUUUAAAACAGUUAUUUUUUAUUAUUUUAAUUAAAAUAGAUUUAUAAAUUGAAAAUUAAUUUUUUUAAAAAUAUUUUUAAUCAAUAAAUUUUUGAAUUUUUUUGACUUUUAAAAAAAGUUGUUAUGUUGAUUCAAAUAAUAUAUUAAAAUUAAAAAAAAACAGGGAAGGAAAAAAACAACAUAGUGACACCAUUGACAAAAUUAUUACUUUCUGGUAAUUUUUAGGGGUAAUCUAAAAAAGCAUAUGAUAUUUUUGGAAAUUUAGCCCCUCAAAAUUUCUAACACUCCUGACAUCCUAAAAUAUUACAUGUUUUGUGGAUUACUACCUUAAUACUACGUAAAUUAAUACUAUUGUCAAUGUUCCUUUUCAUUGUUUAUAUAAUAUGUAUGUUAUUUAUUGUGUGUUUGAUAUUUUUAAUGUUUUGUAAUUUUUCUUAACGAGUCAAAGUAAUUUUCUUUCUAUAAAAAAAAGUAAUUUAAACUAAAUUUAUAAAAUGUUAUUAACUUUAAAUAAUUUGAUUAAUUAAUUUUGUUCACAAUUUUUCAAUUUUGAAUAGUAAAUUUUAUUUUCAAAAGUUAAAUAUUAAUGCAUGUGGAAUUAAAAAUUAAAAGUUUUUGAUCAUUUUUUCAAUUAUGGACUAAUUAAAUGUUUUCUUUUCAGAAAAGAUCGCUCAGGUGACGGUAACGUCCCGGGACGUUAACCCUAGUGUAGGUCAUUUUGCACCUGGGCGGUAUUAGUUUCGUUUAGAAUAUAAAUGUAGGUAGAAAAUUCGGGAAAAAUAGGCAUUUAUGUUCGUUUUAAAUAUAGCAAUAGGUAGGGAAAUCGGGUGAAAAAUGUAAGUAAAAAACAAGUAACUGGAGUACCAGUGAAAAUUUACUUUAUCUUUUAUUUAUUUGGUCACUAUGUUGUAUAACAUUUUAAUAUUUUGUGAAUGUUUGUAAGUGUUUUGUGAUUGUUUUCUAAAUGUUUUGUGAUUGUUUUGUUUAAUUAAUAAUUAUUUUCAGUUGAAUCAUCGUGGUGAGAAAUAAUAUUUCUUUUUUAUAUUAAUAAUCAUUUAUUUUUUCAGGAAUAUGUAAUUUAGUAUAUUCUUAAUCUAGAAAUAUGUAUUUAUUAUACUCUAUUUAUCGUAUAUUGUUAAUUAUAGGAAUGUAUAAAAGCAUGAAAGAAAUAGAAUAACGAAUUUUAACAGUAUUUUUUCUUUGUUACAGAAAAGUCGCAUAUUUUUAAAACUGGUUAAAAAAUUCGAAAAAUAUUUUUAUAAAAACCUUUUUUUUGCAAUUAAUUUUAUCGGGAGUGUUCGUGGUCGUGUGUUUUUAAACCGUUCGAGUUCGAAAAAUAUUUUUAUAAAAAAUGUAUAAAUAUUUUUUUUUAUUUUUCAAAAUGUAGGAGGUAAAAAGUAAGAGUAAGAGUAAAAGUGGCCCUUAGCAUAUAGUAAUUCUUUGAUGCAGACGAGGAUGCAGAAAAAGGAGGGAUUUCUGAGGGUUGCGUUCCAAAAGAGGCAAUGCAACCAUCGUUUCGUCGAGGGAAUCCGCAAUCGGAUCCAUAGAAGCAGUCCUGGAAAAAAUGUUGGAAACAAAAAACCGGUUACAUCACGA